AGCGAACGCUGGCGGCAGGCCUAACACAUGCAAGUCGAACGAACUCUUCGGAGUUAGUGGCGGACGGGUGAGUAACACGUGGGAACGUGCCUUUUGGUUCGGAAUAACUCAGGGAAACUUGUGCUAAUACCGAAUGUGCCCUUCGGGGGAAAGAUUUAUCGCCAUUAGAGCGGCCCGCGUCUGAUUAGCUAGUUGGUGAGGUAACGGCUCACCAAGGCGACGAUCAGUAGCUGGUCUGAGAGGAUGACCAGCCACACUGGGACUGAGACACGGCCCAGACUCCUACGGGAGGCAGGAGUGGGGAAUCUUGCGCAAUGAGCGAAAGCCUGACGCAGCCAUGCCGCGUGAAUGAUGAAGGUCCUAGGAUUGUAAUAUUCUUUCACCGGGGACGAUAAUGACGGUACCCGGAAAAGAAGCCCCGGCUAACUUCGUG
rnacentral:rRNA from 1 species